rnacentral:rRNA from 1 species
UACGGAGGGAGCUAGCGUUGUUCGGAAUUACUGGGCGUAAAGCGCACGUAGGCGGCUAUUCAAGUCGGGGGUGAAAGCCCGGGGCUCAACCCCGGAACUGCCCUCGAAACUAGGUAGCUAGAAUCUUGGAGAGGCGAGUGGAAUUCCGAGUGUAGAGGUGAAAUUCGUAGAUAUUCGGAAGAACACCAGUGGCGAAGGCGACUCGCUGGACAAGUAUUGACGCUGAGGCGCGAAAGCCAGGGGAGCAAACGGG